AAAAAAAUACUCGAGAAAAUUUUAACAUUUUUUUGUAAUGAUCAACAAUUGAUAGAGCCAGAAAGAAUUCGCUUCUUCUGUGGCAUGCAUUUCCAUUUUACAUUCACAAUUCUUGUUAAUAAUAUUUGUUGCUUCUACAAUCUAGCGAUAACUCUUUAAGAGCGUGUGAAUUUUGGGAGAGUUCAGAAAAUCAGAUGUUGGUUCUGGUACAAGAUAUUGGAUACUAAUGCAAUCCUGUAGCCAUUGCUAUCAAUAAUUUGAAUUUAACAGAUUUUCCUUUUAUGGGGCUGGGGAAUUCUUAAAAGGAUUUGGGUGUCAAUUCUGUGAUCUCCGUCUCUCAUUACCUUUUUCUUCUUUCUUCCUCUUCUUCGCUUUUCUUUCUACUGGGAAAUGAAAUCAAGAAGUUAACUUUUUGACCAAGUAUAUGGAAGUAUAACUUUGUACUUAAUGAGUUAGACAAUAUGGCAGAAUCCAUAAUAAUCAGAAGCAGAACGAUCACUGGGUUUAUAGGCGG
rnacentral:misc_RNA from 1 species